AACAGGCUAGCCUGAGUGCUAUUCAGGUUAACUGGAGUGCAGACUUUCUCUGCAAUUAGCCUGUUGAAUAAUCCUGUUUAUAGUCAGCACUUGAUAAUGGAAAUAACAGGAUAUAUAUAGAUUACAUAUGUUUACUUCGAAAGUCCCCAGUCUGCAGUCUGCAUUUUACAUUGACCGGUUUAGAUUCCUGUCCUGAUAAUAAAGGUGUCCACUUUUAAUUAUAAUUGGUAAACUAAUAGAGUGGGUGUCUGUAAAGAUAUAGGUUUGAUCGAGUGUCACAGGAUCUAUUUUUGUAACAAUGAUGUCCAUCACUCUCUAAACUUAACUUGUGUAACUUGUUAGGGCUCACCAAGCUCAGAGAGCAGGACAGAAGUGACAGACACUGGUUCAUUAUACAAGACUCCAACCUCUUAUUUUAUGAUCAAAGAAGCAGUCAGACUCCACCAGAAACCAAACCAACAGGAUUUGUAGACGUUGCUUCAUCAGUGCUGGAAGUUUUUGUUGUUAUUUCAAGGUAAAAUUUGAAAAUAUAUAUGUAUUAAUCAUUGGUAUAUAAUUACACUAUCUUGGGGGCUUGGUGACCUUAUGGUUCUUGUGCUA